rnacentral:lncRNA from 1 species
GCAGCCAGUGAGCAGUGAACGAGUGUAGACAGAGCUCUGCCUCUAGCCUGGCUGCCCAAGCCCAAGCCGUUAGAAGCAGGAGCCCCUGCGCAGUGCCUGGUCACGGAGCUGAGCUGUGUUUAGAUGUGUUGGCUGCUGCGUGGUGAAGGAAGACCCGUCUCCAGAAAAGCAAUUUAGGCAAAAGGGAUUCCGUUUGAUGGCAGAGUCCCAGUGCUAGAAAGGUAGCGAAGGUGGACAGCUUACAGUCUCAACUCAUUUCGUCGUAAAUGUCCUCGUAACGACAUUGAUUCUUCUACCUGGAUAACCUUUUGUUUGUUUGUUUGUUUGUUUUUGUUUUGUUUUUCCCCUGUAACCAUUUUUUUUUCUGACAAGAAAACAUUUUAAUUUUCUAAGCAAGAAGCAUUUUUCAAAUACCAUGUCUGUGACCCAAAGUAAAAAUGGAUGAUAAUUCAUGUAAAUGUGUGCAACAUAGCAACCUGAACCUGCACGCGAUUCGGGCUCUGUAGGUAGGUGGUGCUUCUCCACUGUCUUCUCUGUCUGUUUCCUAGGUUGACUGUUGGUGGCAUAGACUGUCGAAUGAGAGUGAAUGGACAUACGCGAUAUAGGAUGAGCUCUUGUAGUGCUAACACUUAGACUGAGGCAGGAGGACAGCCUUGGACCUCGUAGUUACUUCCAGCCCAGCCUGGACGACAUGUAGGCUCUUGGUGCAAAGUUGAUACGAACCAAGAAGACCUGUUUCUGCCACUUCCAUCAGCUUUUGAGUAGGAGCUAAGUCAGGAGCUAACAGCUGAGGGAUUCUGUUACCUCAUCUCGUCCUGACAGCUUUCCAGGGGCCUUGACUUGUUGUUCUUCACUAGCCAUGGUUGUCAUGCCGUCCAGAUGUGGGCAGGUGUGUGAUUCAUGUGCUAGAAUUGUGGCGUGUGUGUGUGCGUGUGUGUCUGUGUAUGUGUGUGUGUAAAGGAAUUGUGCUGUUCUGAUGGUUUUCUGUGUUUCUGGUUCUGUCUGCAGUUGCUGUAAGUUCUUUGGCCAUGCCAAGGGUGAAAGGGACCUGACAGGACGUAUAAAUAGACAUCGGUUCUACAUUCAUCCUAGCUGCUAGUAAUCCUGACCCACUACUUGAAAACAUAUUAAGUUGCUAAGUAUCUGAAAGUGAUAGGCUCACAUUCCUUUAAAGAAAUAUUAUGACUAAAGUUCUACUAUGUCAUGUCCUACUUAAGUCAGGGAUGUCAGUCUGUAAGGCAGUGUUGGGAAAUCCUCUAUUCCUGUGUCUGUAAAAAGAACUAAUAAGUUGUGUGUGCAUGUGUGUGUCUGUGUGUGUGUGUGUGUGCAAGGUUAUAUGUGCACACGUAUGUGCACAUGCAUCAGUGGGAGGCCAGAAAGUGCUGGAUCCUUCUGAAAUAGAGUGACAGGUGUCUGCCCAGCUCGUUACAUGGGCUCUGGGAUCUGAACUCUGGUCCGCACUGCUACACGCCACACUCUUUUAACCACUGAACCCCUUUCUCUAGCCCCUUUUCUGUGGGUUUUUUUUUUUUGAGUCUUUGCCAUGGGGACUCACUAUGUGGCUCAGACAGGACUUGAACUUGGGAUCCAGUCACCUGAGACCUCCAAGUGCUGGUAUUACAGCCUGUGCUAACCUAUCCGACUCUUCUGUCUUUGCGCAUCAGUUUAAACUUGGUGUCCACGGGAUGCUCAUCAAUAGAGUGUCUUGUUACUAAUCUUAUAUUUCAAGUGUUAUAUUUUGAAAAGCUUAUUUAGUUUGUGAUAUGGGGAUGGGAAUCAAGCCUAUGGCUUCACUCAUGCUAAGAUCACAUUCCCAAUUGCUCAAGUUUUAGACACAAUUUAAUAACU